UACCCUAUCAUGCGCGCUGUUGCCUUCGAUCCAAAUGGACUCCAAGGCCUGUUAUUUGAUCUGACCCUAAUAGAUACUCUUGUUUGUCUCUCGAAAGAUAAAAGGGAUCUUUUGGCUUAUGAUCAUCAAGCAGUGGAAUAUUACUAGGAACCAUCGAUACGCAGCAGAAAUUUUCCAAUCGUUCAAAAGACUCUCUGGAAACAUACAUAGGAUAGACUGGCAGGCAGAUAAGGAACAUGUAUCUUAGAUGGGCAAAAAUAAUAAUCAGUAUUCUCUUAUAUCUUAUGUCAAAAAGUCAAAUGAUGUGUUAAAAAAGUAGGAUCAAUGUAUAACAUCGGUCACUUGUUAGCUACGUCAUUGAAUCGACGUGACCCUGAAUGCAAACACGCUAGCCAAGUUCGCGGUCACUUUACAUUUCGUGAUCGCGCAAGGAAAUGACGUGGAUUACAUCAUCGACGAUUGUCAAAUGCAAAUCGAAUGUCCUCAACGAUGCAAACGAUUGGAGCUUCAUUGGACCAGAUGAAUCAGGUAAAAUACCUGAUUAUCUGAAGGAGAGGUAUAUAGGAAUCGAACUGCGCACGCCUUUGAUCAGACACACGCAUUGUAAUUCAUUAACGCGCCAGUUGACAAAGUUGGUGGAGUAUGAAUGAGCAUAUCGAGGAUUCAUCGAUUGCGCGCUUGCACUUUAUCUCAUUCAUGGCACGCAUAAAGCCGAUAGCAGACCGCCGUACCGGGUACGAGUUUGCAUCGAGAUACAUGACAGAGAAACGCCCCUCGCGAUCGACAAAACCUGUCUUCCUCUCCCAUUGGCGCAGAUUAAAGGCGAAUCUACACCAUUCGCUCUCGAUCAUCUCGCAAAUCGUCGCAAGUAAUAUUGAUGAAUGAGAUCACGAUUUAUAUACAACCCGAUUAAUGCAAAUAACGAAAAAGUUAUUGCAACUCUAAAUUGGAUACGCAAAUAACUGUCAUUCGCAGCAAAACCUGUUAUUAGCGUGUGCAUCUAAUGUGUAUGAAAUCUUAUAACAUGGAUCCCGCCCAUCGUGUAUAACGUAUACACCUGUGUCAGCAUGCAAAUGUACUAUACUCGCGGGGGACCGGUUCGUAAAGGUCGAACAUUAUACCGAGGUCGUUUUCUCCAUGAGUGAGAAUCGAUGAUAUCUGUCUUAUUCGAUUCGCAUGGCCUAUUUGUGAGAUGAGACUCAAUGGUUAUUACAUUAUAAGGAUAUUUUAUAUUUACACAUAGAUAUGCUCUGUUAAAAUUUAUGCCCGUCUAACUUCCAUUACAUCAACUGUCA